GCCCGGGUAGCUCAAUCGGUAGAGCGUGUGGCUCUUAUAAAGUGGAAUAUCCUCCUCAGGGGUGUUUCCAGUGUAGUGUAACCUCAAGGUCGUGGGUUCGAAACCCACCUCGGGCU